rnacentral:rRNA from 1 species
GACGGAGGGUGCUAGCGUUGUUCGGAAUGACUGGGCGUAAAGGGCGCGUAGGCGGCCGCUUGCGUCGGAUGUGAAAGCCCGGGGCUCAACCCCGGAACGGCAUCCGAUACGGGGCGGCUCGAGACCGAGAGAGGUGAGUGGAAUACCCAGUGUAGAGGUGAAAUUCGUAGAUAUUCGCAAGAACACCAGUGGCGAAGGCGGCUCACUGGCCCGGUACUGACGCUGAGGUGCGAAAGCGUGGGGAGCAACAGGAUUAAGAAACCC